AAGAUGUAACGGGGCUCAAGCCACGAGCCGAAGCUCAGGAUGCAUCGCAAGAUGCGUGGUAGCGGAGCGUUCUGUCUAGUGGACCUUGCCUCUUGAGUUCCUUCGGGAACUGCGGAGGCGAAGGUCCCGGCGAUGAAGCCGGCCUGUGAGGGACCGGUGGAGCAUUCAGAAGUGAGAAUGUUGACAUGAGUAGCGACAAAGAGUGUGAGAGACACUCUCGCCGAAAGUCCAAGGGUUCCUGCUUAAAGCUAAUCUGAGCAGGGUGAGCCGACCCCUAAGGCGAGGCCGAAAGGCGUAGUCGAUGGGAACCAGGUUAAUAUUCCUGGGCCAGGAGGAAGUGACGGAUCGCAAAGCUUGUUCGACCUUAUCGGAUUGGUCGGGCCUGUCAGCGGUUCCUGGAAAUAGCCCUCCAUCAGAUCGUACCCUAAACCGACACAGGUGGACUGGUAGAGCAUACCAAGGCGCUUGAGAGAACUGCGUUGAAGGAACUCGGCAAAAUGCCUCCGUAACUUCGGGAGAAGGAGGCCCCGUCUGUGGGCAACCAUGGGCGGGGGGCACAAACUAGGGGGUGGCGACUGUUUACUAAAAACACAGGACUCUGCGAAGCCCAAAGGCGACGUAUAGGGUCUGACGCCUGCCCGGUGCUGGAAGGUUAAAGGGAGGGGUGCAAGCUCCGAACUGAAGCCCCAGUAAACGGCGGCCGUAACAAUAACGGUCCUAAGGUAGCGAAAUUCCUUGUCGGGUAAGUUCCGACCUGCACGAAUGGCGUAACGACUUCCCCGCUGUCUCCAACGCAGACUCAGCGAAAUUGAACUCCCCGUGAAGAUGCGGGGUUCCCGCGGUCAGACGGAAAGACCCCGUGCACCUUUACUACAGCUUCACACUGGCAUCAGGCCAGGCAUGUGCAGGAUAGGUGGCAGGCUUUGAAGCGGGGACGCCAGUUCCUGUGGAGCCGUCCUUGAGAUAUCACCCUUGCCUUGCCUGAUGUCUAACCGCGGACCGUCAUCCGGUUCCGGGACCCUGUGUGGCGGGUAGUUUGACUGGGGCGGUCGCCUCCCAAAUAGUAACGGAGGCGCGCGAUGGUGGGCUCAGGUUGGUCGG
rnacentral:rRNA from 1 species